CAACAGUUGGUUUGUCACGGCU
rnacentral:siRNA from 1 species